rnacentral:rRNA from 1 species
GCAUGUCUAAGUAUAAGCGACUAUACUGUGAAACUGCGAAUGGCUCAUUAAAUCAGUUAUGGUUUAUUUGAUGGUACCUACUACUUGGAUAACCGUAGUAAUUCUAGAGCUAAUACAUGCAGGAAGACCCGACUUCGGAAGGGUUGUAUUUAUUAGAUAAGAAACCAGUCCAGCUUGCUGGUUGCGUGCCGAGUCACAAUAACUGCUCGAAUCGCAUGACUUUACGUCGGCGAUGGUUCAUUCAAAUUUCUGCCCUAUCAGCUUUCGAUGGUAGGAUCGAGGCCUACCAUGGCGUUUACGGGUAACGGAGAAUUAGGGUUCGAUUCCGGGGAGGGAGCCUGAGAAAUGGCUACCACAUCCAAGGAAGGCAGCAGGCGCGUAAAUUGCCCGAAUCCUGACACAGGGAGGUAGUGACAAGAAAUAACGAUACAGGGCUACAUCUAGUCUUGUAAUUGGAAUGAGUACAAUUUACAUCUCUUAACGAUGAUCAAUUGGAGGGCAAGUCUGGUGCCAGCAGCCGCGGUAAUUCCAGCUCCAAUAGCGUAUAUUAAAGUUGUUGCAGUUAGAACGCUCGUAGUCGGAUUUCGGGGCGUUCCGACCGGUCUGCCGAUGGGUAUGCACUGGCCGGAGUGUCCUUUUUGCCGGAGACCUAUCCUACUCUUAACUGAGCGGGGUGGGGAGACGGCACUUUUACUUUGAAAAAAUCAGAGUGUUUCAAGCAGGCAGCUCGCUCUUGCAUGGAUUAGCAUGGGAUAAUGAAAUAGGACUUUGAUGCUAUUUUGUUGGUUUCGAACACCGAAGUAAUGAUGA